rnacentral:misc_RNA from 1 species
GAUGAAGAACGUAGCGAAAUGCGAUAAGUAAUGUGAAUUGCAGAAUUCAGUGAAUCAUCGAAUCUUUGAACGCACAUUGCGCCCCCUGGUAUUCCGGGGGGCAUGCCUGUUCGAGCGUCAUUUCACCACUCAAGCCUCGCUUGGUAUUGGGCAACGCGGUCCGCCGCGUGCCUCAAAUCGACCGGCUGGGUCUUCUGUCCCCUAAGCGUUGUGGAAACUAUUCGCUAAAGGGUGUUCGGGAGGAUACGCCGUAAAACAACCCCAUUUCUAAGGUUGACCUCGGAUCAGGUAGGGAUACCCGCUGAACUUAAGCAUAUCAAUAAGCGGAGGA